GGAUGGGUGAGUAACACGUGGGCAACCUGCCUAUAAGACUGGGAUAACUUACGGAAACGUGAGCUAAUACCGGAUGAAACCUCUUAUCACCUGGUAAGAGGAUGAAAGAUGGCUUUUAGCUAUCACUUAUAGAUGGGCCCGCGGCGCAUUAGCUAGUUGGUGAGAUAAAAGCUCACCAAGGCAACGAUGCGUAGCCRACCUGAGAGGGUGAUCGGCCACACUGGGACUGAGACACGGCCCAGACUCCUACGGGAGGCAGCAGUAGGGAAUCUUCCGCAAUGGACGAAAGUCUGACGGAGCAACGCCGCGUGAACGAAGAAGGUUCUCGGAUCGUAAAGUUCUGUUGUUAGGGAAGAACACGUACCAUUCGAAUAGGGUGGUACCUUGACGGUACCUAACGAGAAAGCCCCGGCUAACUACGUGCCAGCAGCCGCGGUAAUACGUAGGGGGCAAGCGUUGUCCGGAAUUAUUGGGCGUAAAGCGCUCGCAGGCGGUUUUUUAAGUCUGAUGUGAAAUCUUGCGGCUCAACCGCAAGCGGUCAUUGGAAACUGGAGAACUUGAGGACAGAAGAGGAGAGUGGAAUUCCACGUGUAGCGGUGAAAUGCGUAGAGAUGUGGAGGAACACCAGUGGCGAAGGCGACUCUCUGGUCUGUAACUGACGCUGAGGAGCGAAAGCGUGGGUAGCGAACAGGAUUAGAUACCCUGGUAGUCCACGCCGUAAACGAUGAGUGCUAGGUGUUAGGG
rnacentral:rRNA from 1 species